GACGAACGCUGGCGGCGUGCCUAACACAUGCAAGUCGAACGGAAGUAAGAGCUUCGGUUUUUACUUUAGUGGCGAACGGGUGAGUAACGCGUGAGGAACCUGCCUUUCAGUGGGGGACAACAGUUGGAAACGACUGCUAAUACCGCAUAACACUUCUGAGUGGCAUCACUUGGAAGUCAAAGAUUUAUUGCUGAAAGAUGGCCUCGCGUCUGAUUAGCUAGUUGGCGGGGUAACGGCCCACCAAGGCGACGAUCAGUAGCCGGUCUGAGAGGAUGAACGGCCACAUUGGGACUGAGAUACGGCCCAGACUCCUACGGGAGGCAGCAGUGGGGAAUAUUGGGCAAUGGGGGAAACCCUGACCCAGCAACGCCGCGUGAAGGAAGAAGGCCCUCGGGUUGUAAACUUCUUUUACCAGGGACGAAGACGUGACGGUACCUGGAGAAAAAGCAACGGCUAACUACGUG
rnacentral:rRNA from 1 species